rnacentral:rRNA from 1 species
AACGAACGCUGGCGGCAUGCCUAACACAUGCAAGUCGAACGAAGCCUUCGGGCUUAGUGGCGCACGGGUGCGUAGCGCGUGGGAAUCUGCCCUUUGGUUCGGAAUAACAGUUGGAAACGACUGCUAAUACCGGAUGAUGACGAAAGUCCAAAGAUUUAUCGCCAGAGGAUGAGCCCGCGUAGGAUUAGCUAGUUGGUGUGGUAAAGGCGCACCAAGGCGACGAUCCUUAGCUGGUCUGAGAGGAUGAUCAGCCACACUGGGGCUGAGACACGGCCCAGACUCCUACGGGAGGCAGCAGUGGGGAACAUUGGACAAUGGGCGAAAGCCUGAUCCAGCAAUGCCGCGUGAGUGAUGAAGGCCCUAGGGUUGUAAAGCUCUUUUACCCGGGAUGAUAAUGACAGUACCGGGAGAAUAAGCCCCGGCUAACUCCGUGCCAGCAGCCGCCGUAA